rnacentral:tRNA from 1 species
UUUAAUAUGGCAGAUUAGUGCGAUGGACUUAAGCCCCAUAAAUUUAGUUAUUUAACUUUUAUUAAAA